rnacentral:rRNA from 1 species
UACGUAGGUGGCAAGCGUUGUCCGGAAUUACUGGGCGUACAGCGCGCGCAGGCGGUCCACUACGUGCCGUGUGACAAACGUCGGCUUAACCGACGGAGGCCAGGGUACACGGGUGAACUUGAGGCAGAGAGAGGGAUGUGGAAUACCCGGUGGAGCGGUGAAAUGCGUAGAGAUCGGGUGGAACACCAGGGGCGAAGGCGGCAUCCUGGCUCUGUUCUGACGCUGAGGCGCGAAAGCGUGGGGAGCAAACGGG